GCGGGUAUCGUAUAAUGGUAAUACCCCAGUUUUCCAAACUGGUGCCAGGAGUUCGAUUCUCCUUACCCGCUCCA
rnacentral:tRNA from 1 species